rnacentral:rRNA from 1 species
AUUGAACGCUGGCGGCAGGCCUAACCCAUGCAAGUCGAACGAGUUGCUGACGGGUGAGUAAUGUCUGGGAAACUUCCUGAUGGAGGGGGAUAACUACUGGAAAAGGUAGCUCAUACCGCAUACCAUCGGAUGUGCCCAGAUGGGCUGAGCUAGUAGGUGGGGUAAAGGCUCACCUAGGCGAAGAUCCCUAGCUGGUCUGAGAGGAUGACCAGCCAAACUGGAACUGAGACACGGUCCAGACUCCUACGGGAGGCAGCAGUGGGGAAUAUUGCACAAUGGGCGCAAGCCUGAUGCAGCCAUGCCGCGUGUAUGAAGAAGGCCGUCGGGUUGUAAAGUACUUUCAGCGGGGAGGCGUUACCCGCAGAAGAAGCACCGGCUAACUCCGUGCCAGCAGCCGCGGUAAUUC